rnacentral:rRNA from 1 species
GGUUAAGUUAGAAAGGGCGCACGGUGGAUGCCUUGGCACUAGGAGCCGAUGAAGGACGGGACGAACACCGAUAUGCUUCGGGGAGCUGUAAGCAAGCUUUGAUCCGGAGAUUUCCGAAUGGGGAAACCCACCACUCGUAAUGGAGUGGUAUCCAUAUCUGAAUACAUAGGAUAUGAGAAGGCAGACCCGGGGAACUGAAACAUCUAAGUACCCGGAGGAAGAGAAAGCAAAUGCGAUUCCCUGAGUAGCGGCGAGCGAAACGGGACCAGCCCAAACCAAGAGGCUUGCCUCUUGGGGUUGUAGGACACUCUGUACGGAGUUACAAAGGAACGAGGUAGAUGAAGAGGUCUGGAAAGGCCCGCCAUAGGAGGUAACAGCCCUGUAGUCAAAACUUCGUUCUCUCCUGAGUGGAUCCUGAGUACGGCGGAACACGUGAAAUUCCGUCGGAAUCCGGGAGGACCAUCUCCCAAGGCUAAAUACUUCCUAGUGACCGAUAGUGAACCAGUACCGUGAGGGAAAGGUGAAAAGCACCCCGGAAGGGGAGUGAAAGAGAUCCUGAAACCGUGUGCCUACAAGUAGUCAGAGCCCGUUAACGGGUGAUGGCGUGCCUUUUGUAGAAUGAACCGGCGAGUUACGAUCCCGUGCAAGGUUAAGCAGAAGAUGCGGAGCCGCAGCGAAAGCGAGUCUGAAUAGGGCGAAUUGAGUACGUGGUCGUAGACCCGAAACCAGGUGAUCUACCCAUGUCCAGGGUGAAGUUCAGGUAACACUGAAUGGAGGCCCGAACCCACGCACGUUGAAAAGUGCGGGGAUGAGGUGUGGGUAGGGGUGAAAUGCCAAUCGAACCUGGAGAUAGCUGGUUCUCUCCGAAAUAGCUUUAGGGCUAGCCUCAAGGUAAGAGUCUCGGAGGUAGAGCACUGAUUGGACUAGGGGCCCCUACCGGGUUACCGAAUUCAGUCAAACUCCGAAUGCCGAUGACUUAUCCUUGGGAGUCAGACUGCGAGUGAUAAGAUCCGUAGUCGAAAGGGAAACAGCCCAGACCGCCAGCUAAGGUCCCAAAGUAUACGUUAAGUGGAAAAGGAUGUGGAGUUGCUUAGACAACCAGGAUGUUGGCUUAGAAGCAGCCACCAUUUAAAGAGUGCGUAAUAGCUCACUGGUCGAGUGACUCUGCGCCGAAAAUGUACCGGGGCUAAACGUAUCACCGAAGCUGCGGACUGUUCUUCGAACAGUGGUAGGAGAGCGUUCUAAGGGCUGUGAAGCAAGACCGGAAGGACUUGUGGAGCGCUUAGAAGUGAGAAUGCCGGUAUGAGUAGCGAAAGAGGGGUGAGAAUCCCCUCCACCGAAUGCCUAAGGUUUCCUGAGGAAGGCUCGUCCGCUCAGGGUUAGUCGGGACCUAAGCCGAGGCCGAAAGGCGUAGGCGAUGGAUAACAGGUUGAUAUUCCUGUACCACCUCCUCACCAUUUGAGCAAUGGGGGGACGCAGGAGGAUAGGGUAAGCGCGGUAUUGGAUAUCCGCGUCCAAGCAGUUAGGCUGGGAAAUAGGCAAAUCCGUUUCCCGUGAAGGCUGAGCUGUGAUGGCGAGCGAAUUAUAGUAGCGAAGUUCCUGAUUCCACACUGCCAAGAAAAGCCUCUAGCGAGGUGAGAGGUGCCCGUACCGCAAACCGACACAGGUAGGCGAGGAGAGAAUCCUAAGGUGAUCGAGAGAACUCUCGUUAAGGAACUCGGCAAAAUGACCCCGUAACUUCGGGAGAAGGGGUGCUCUGUUAGGGUGCAAGCCCGAGAGAGCCGCAGUGAAUAGGCCCAGGCGACUGUUUAGCAAAAACACAGGUCUCUGCGAAGCCGUAAGGCGAAGUAUAGGGGCUGACGCCUGCCCGGUGCUGGAAGGUUAAGAGGAGCGCUUAGCGUAAGCGAAGGUGCGAAUUGAAGCCCCAGUAAACGGCGGCCGUAACUAUAACGGUCCUAAGGUAGCGAAAUUCCUUGUCGGGUAAGUUCCGACCCGCACGAAAGGCGCAACGAUCUGGGCACUGUCUCAACGAGAGACUCGGUGAAAUUAUAGUACCUGUGAAGAUGCAGGUUACCCGCGACAGGACGGAAAGACCCCGUGGAGCUUUACUGCAGCCUGAUAUUGAAUGUUGGUACAGCUUGUACAGGAUAGGUAGGAGCCUUGGAAACCGGAGCGCCAGCUUCGGUGGAGGCAUCGGUGGGAUACUACCCUGGCUGUAUUGACCUUCUAACCCGCCGCCCUUAUCGGGCGGGGAGACAGUGUCAGGUGGGCAGUUUGACUGGGGCGGUCGCCUCCUAAAAGGUAACGGAGGCGCCCAAAGGUUCCCUCAGAAUGGUUGGAAAUCAUUCGCAGAGUGUAAAGGCACAAGGGAGCUUGACUGCGAGACCUACAAGUCGAGCAGGGACGAAAGUCGGGCUUAGUGAUCCGGUGGUUCCGCAUGGAAGGGCCAUCGCUCAACGGAUAAAAGCUACCCCGGGGAUAACAGGCUUAUCUCCCCCAAGAGUCCACAUCGACGGGGAGGUUUGGCACCUCGAUGUCGGCUCAUCGCAUCCUGGGGCUGUAGUCGGUCCCAAGGGUUGGGCUGUUCGCCCAUUAAAGCGGUACGCGAGCUGGGUUCAGAACGUCGUGAGACAGUUCGGUCCCUAUCCGUCGCGGGCGCAGGAAAUUUGAGAGGAGCUGUCCUUAGUACGAGAGGACCGGGAUGGACGCACCGCUGGUGUACCAGUUGUUCUGCCAAGGGCAUCGCUGGGUAGCUAUGUGCGGACGGGAUAAGUGCUGAAAGCAUCUAAGCAUGAAGCCCCCCUCAAGAUGAGAUUUCCCAUUCCGCAAGGAAGUAAGAUCCCUGAAAGAUGAUCAGGUUGAUAGGUCUGAGGUGGAAGUGUGGCGACACAUGGAGCUGACAGAUACUAAUCGAUCGAGGACUUAACCAA